rnacentral:rRNA from 1 species
CACGGCCCAGACUCCUACGGGAGGCAGCAGUGGGGAAUCUUGCGCAAUGGGCGAAAGCCUGACGCAGCGACGCCGCGUGAGCGAAGAAGGCCUUCGGGUCGUAAAGCUCGAUAGUGUGGGAAGAAGGGAUGACGGUACCACACGAAAGCCCCGGCUAACUACGUGCCAGCAGCCGCGGUAAUGAGUAGGGGGCGAG